rnacentral:rRNA from 1 species
GACGAACGCUGGCGGCGUGCUUAACACAUGCAAGUCGAACGAAGUGGCGAACGGGUGAGUAAUACGUGGGUAACCCGCCCUCCUUUUUGGGGUAAGCCUUGGAAACGGGGUCUAAUACCGAAUAAAGGGGGAUGGGCUCGCGGCCUAUCAGCUGGUUGGUGGGGUGAUGGCCUAACACGGCGGUGCCGGGUAGCCGGCCUGAGAGGGUGAACGGCAACAUGGGGACGGAGAUACGGCCCAGGCUCCUACGCGAGGCAGCAGUGGGGGCUAUUGCACAAUGGGUGAAAGACUGAUGCAGCGACGACGAGUAGGGGAUGAGGGUUUUAAGGUUGUAACCCUCUGGCGGAAUCGAACCGGUAGGUGCAGAAGAAGCGCCGGCUAACUACGUGCCAGCAGCCGCGGUAAUAC